UAUUAGGUCUAUCCUUUUCAA
rnacentral:piRNA from 1 species